UACGUAGGGUGCGAGCGUUAAUCGGAAUUACUGGGCGUAAAGCGUGCGCAGGCGGUUCGUUGUGUCGGCGGUGAAAGCCCCGGGCUCAACCUGGGAAUGGCCGUUGAAACUGGCGAACUGGAGUGUGGCAGAGGGGGGUGGAAUUCCGCGUGUAGCAGUGAAAUGCGUAGAGAUGCGGAGGAACACCGAUGGCGAAGGCAGCCCCCUGGGCUGACACUGACGCUCAGGCACGAAAGCGUGGGGAGCAAACAG
rnacentral:rRNA from 1 species